rnacentral:misc_RNA from 1 species
GAUGAAGAACGUAGCGAAAUGCGAUAAGUAAUGUGAAUUGCAGAAUUCAGUGAAUCAUCGAAUCUUUGAACGCACAUUGCGCCCGCCAGCAUUCUGGCGGGCAUGCCUGUUCGAGCGUCAUUUCAACCCUCAAGCGCGGCUUGUGUGUUGGGCUUCGUCCCCCCGUGGACGUGCCCGAAAGGCAGUGGCGGCGUCCCGAAUGGUGCCCGAGCGUAUGGGAACUCUCUUCCGCUCGAACCGGCCCAUUCGGCGCUGGUCGAACCCCAAUUUUUUUUUACCGGUUGACCUCGGAUCAGGUAGGGAUACCCGCUGAACUUAAGCAUAUCAAUAAGCGGAGGA